UACAGAGAGUGCAAGCGUUAAUCGGAAUUAUUGGGCGUAAAGCGCACGUAGGCGGCUUUGCAAGUCCCAUGUGAAAGCCCACGGCUUAACCGUGGAAGUGCAUGGGAAACUGCAGAGCUUGAGUACUUAAGAGGAUCGCGGAAUUCCCGGUGUAGAGGUGAAAUUCGUAGAUAUCGGGAGGAACACCAGUGGCGAAGGCGGCGAUCUGGGAAGAUACUGACGCUGAGGUGCGAAAGCGUGGGGAGCAAACAGG
rnacentral:rRNA from 1 species